rnacentral:tRNA from 1 species
GAUUAAAUGGCUGAAAUAUUAGGCAAUAAAUUGUAAAUUUAUGUAUGAGAGUUAUUCUCUUUAAUCA